GACGAACGCUGGCGGCGUGCCUAACACAUGCAAGUCGAACGGUCCGGCACUCAACCGACCCUCAGUCUAGCUGUAGGUGAAGUUGAGUGCCGGAUAGUGGCGGACGGGUGAGUAACGCGUGGGCAACCAACCCUGUACAGUGGGAUAACACCGGGAAACCGGUGCUAAUACCGCAUGACACCUAGAUGGUGCAUACUGUUUAGGUUAAAGGAUUUAACCGGUACAGGACGGGCCCGCGUCCCAUUAGCUGGUUGGUGAGGUAACGGCUCACCAAGGCGACGAUGGGUAGCCGACCUGAGAGGGUGACCGGCCACACUGGGACUGAGACACGGCCCAGACUCCUACGGGAGGCAGCAGUGGGGAAUAUUGCGCAAUGGACGGAAGUCUGACGCAGCGACGCCGCGUGAGCGACGAAGGCCUUCGGGUCGUAAAGCUCUGUUCUUGGGGACGGAAUAAAAUGAGGUACCCAAGGAGAAAGCCCGGCUAACUAACGUGCCAGCAGCCGCGGUAAAAGUCACGUCGC
rnacentral:rRNA from 1 species